UACCAGCACCCCGAGUGGUCGGGACGUUUAUUGGGCCUAAAGCAUCCGUAGCCGGUUCUACAAGUCUUCCGUUAAAUCCACCUGCUUAACGGAUGGGCUGCGGAGGAUACCGCAGAGCUAGGAGGCGGGAGAGGCAAACGGUACUCAGUGGGUAGGGGUAAAAUCCAUUGAUCUACUGAAGACCACCAGUGGCGAAGGCGGUUUGCCAGAACGCGCUCGACGGUGAGGGAUGAAAGCUGGGGGAGCAAACCGG
rnacentral:rRNA from 1 species